GCAAGUAGAACGCUGAAGGAGGAGCUUGCUCUUCUGGAUGAGUUGCGAACGGGUGAGUAACGCGUAGGUAACCUGCCUGGUAGCGGGGGAUAACUAUUGGAAACGAUAGCUAAUACCGCAUAAUAGUAGAUGUUGCAUGACAUUUGCUUAAAAGGUGCAAUUGCAUCACUACCAGAUGGACCUGCGUUGUAUUAGCUAGUUGGUGGGGUAACGGCUCACCAAGGCGACGAUACAUAGCCGACCUGAGAGGGUGAUCGGCCACACUGGGACUGAGACACGGCCCAGACUCCUACGGGAGGCAGCAGUAGGGAAUCUUCGGCAAUGGACGGAAGUCUGACCGAGCAACGCCGCGUGAGUGAAGAAGGUUUUCGGAUCGUAAAGCUCUGUUGUAAGAGAAGAACGAGUGUGAGAGUGGAAAGUUCACACUGUGACGGUAUCUUACCAGAAAGGGACGGCUAACUACGUGCCAGCAGCCGCGGUAAUACGUAGGUCCCGAGCGUUGUCCGGAUUUAUUGGGCGUAAAGCGAGCGCAGGCGGUUAGAUAAGUCUGAAGUUAAAGGCUGUGGCUUAACCAUAGUACGCUUUGGAAACUGUUUAACUUGAGUGCAAGAGGGGAGAGUGGAAUUCCAUGUGUAGCGGUGAAAUGCGUAGAUAUAUGGAGGAACACCGGUGGCGAAAGC
rnacentral:rRNA from 1 species